rnacentral:rRNA from 1 species
GGACCAAGGAGUCUAGCAUGUGCGCGAGUCAUUGGGACUCUAACGAAACCUAAAGGCGUAAUGAAAGUGAAGGCUCGCCUAGCGCGGGCCGAGGGAGGAUGGGUGUCCCCGCGGGGACGCCCCGCACUCCCAGGGCGUCUCGUUCUCAUUGCGAGAAGAGGCGCACCAAGAGCGUACACGCUGGGACCCGAAAGAUGGUGAACUAUGCCUGGUCAGGACGAAGUCAGGGGAAACCCUGAUGGAGGUCCGUAGCGAUUCUGACGUGCAAAUCGAUCGUCGGAACUGGGUAUAGGGGCGAAAGACUAAUCGAACCAUCUAGUAGCUGGUUCCCUCCGAAGUUUCCCUCAGGAUAGCUGGCGCUCGCUUCUCGCGAGUCUCAUUCGGUAAAGCGAAUGAUUAGAGGCAUUGGGGUCGAAACGGCCUCAACCUAUUCUCAAACUUUAAAUGGGUGAGAUCUCCGGCUUGCUUGAACUGUGAAGCCGCGAGAUAUCGGAUCAGAGUGCCAAGUGGGCCACUUUUGGUAAGCAGAACUGGCGCUGUGGGAUGAACCAAACGCUGAGUUAAAGCGCCUAAAUCGACGCUUAUGGGAUACCAUGAAAGGCGUUGGUAACUUAAGACAGCAGGACGGUGGCCAUGGAAGUCGGA